CGUCUAUAUACGUAUAGCAUAUCAAUAAGCGGAGGAAAAGAAACUAACUAGGAUUCCCUUAGUAACGGCGAGUGAAGCGGGAAGAGCUCAAAUUUGAAAUCUUCAAGGUUUUACCUUGACGAAUUGUAGUUUAAAGAAGUGUUUUCUGUUGGAGUUUUGGUAAAAGUUCUUUGGAAUAGGACAUCAUAGAGGGUGAGAAUCCCGUAUUUGACCAUUAUUUCCAACUUUGUGAUACACUUUCAAAGAGUCGGAUUGUUUGGGAAUGCAGUCCAAAAUGGGUGGUAAAUUUCAUCUAAAGCUAAAUACUGGCGAGAGACCGAUAGCGAACAAGUACCGUGAGGGAAAGAUGAAAAGAACUUUGAAAAGAGAGUUAAACAGUACGUGAAAUUGUCAAAAGGGAAGCGUUUGACACCAGUGUUGUUUUCUCGAAAAUCAAUUAAAAAUGGCGGGAUUUUGUGUUGUAUUGACUUUAUCAGCUUUCUGCACUUUUUUCCUGAUCUUUUUUAAUGCACUUUUCGUUUAACAAGUCAACAUCAAUUUCUUUUGUUGCUAAAAGAGUCAUUGGAAGGUGGCUCUCUUUUCGGAGAAAGUGUUUAUAGCCUUUGCCUCUAGCAAUCGGAGAGAUUGAGGUCUGCAGCGUAGAUCCUUCGGGGUUAGAUACAUUUGUGCUAAGCUAUAGCCUUUCAUAGACAACUUGUUGACUAUGAUCAGUCAUGUAGCUUACUCGCUUAUGUCAUUUUACCUACGCUUAGGAUGUUGACGAUCAGCUGAGCGCG
rnacentral:rRNA from 1 species